rnacentral:rRNA from 1 species
UUAGAGUUUGAUCCUGGCUCAGGACGAACGCUGGCGGCGUGCCUAAUACAUGCAAGUCGAACGAACUCUGGUAUUGAUUGGUGCUUGCAUCAUGAUUUACAUUUGAGUGAGUGGCGAACUGGUGAGUAACACGUGGGAAACCUGCCCAGAAGCGGGGGAUAACACCUGGAAACAGAUGCUAAUACCGCAUAACAACUUGGACCGCAUGGUCCGAGUUUGAAAGAUGGCUUCGGCUAUCACUUUUGGAUGGUCCCGCGGCGUAUUAGCUAGAUGGUGGGGUAACGGCUCACCAUGGCAAUGAUACGUAGCCGACCUGAGAGGGUAAUCGGCCACAUUGGGACUGAGACACGGCCCAAACUCCUACGGGAGGCAGCAGUAGGGAAUCUUCCACAAUGGACGAAAGUCUGAUGGAGCAACGCCGCGUGAGUGAAGAAGGGUUUCGGCUCGUAAAACUCUGUUGUUAAAGAAGAACAUAUCUGAAAGUAACUGUUCAGGUAUUGACGGUAUUUAACCAGAAAGCCACGGCUAACUACGUGCCAGCAGCCGCGGUAAUACGUAGGUGGCAAGCGUUGUCCGGAUUUAUUGGGCGUAAAGCGAGCGCAGGCGGUUUUUUAAGUCUGAUGUGAAAGCCUUCGGCUCAACCGAAGAAGUGCAUCGGAAACUGGGAAACUUGAGUGCAGAAGAGAGGACAGUGGAACUCCAUGUGUAGCGGUGAAAUGCGUAGAUAUAUGGAAGAACACCAGUGGCGAAGGCGGCUGUCUGGUCUGUAACUGACGCUGAGGCUCGAAAGUAUGGGUAGCAAACAGGAUUAGAUACCCUGGUAGUCCAUACCGUAAACGAUGAAUGCUAAGUGUUGGAGGGUUUCCGCCCUUCAGUGCUGCAGCUAACGCAUUAAGCAUUCCGCCUGGGGAGUACGGCCGCAAGGCUGAAACUCAAAGGAAUUGACGGGGGCCCGCACAAGCGGUGGAGCAUGUGGUUUAAUUCGAAGCUACGCGAAGAACCUUACCAGGUCUUGACAUACUAUGCAAAUCUAAGAGAUUAGACGUUCCCUUCGGGGACAUGGAUACAGGUGGUGCAUGGUUGUCGUCAGCUCGUGUCGUGAGAUGUUGGGUUAAGUCCCGCAACGAGCGCAACCCUUAUUAUCAGUUGCCAGCAUUAAGUUGGGCACUCUGGUGAGACUGCCGGUGACAAACCGGAGGAAGGUGGGGAUGACGUCAAAUCAUCAUGCCCCUUAUGACCUGGGCUACACACGUGCUACAAUGGAUGGUACAACGAGUUGCGAACUCGCGAGAGUAAGCUAAUCUCUUAAAGCCAUUCUCAGUUCGGAUUGUAGGCUGCAACUCGCCUACAUGAAGUCGGAAUCGCUAGUAAUCGCGGAUCAGCAUGCCGCGGUGAAUACGUUCCCGGGCCUUGUACACACCGCCCGUCACACCAUGAGAGUUUGUAACACCCAAAGUCGGUGGGGUAACCUUUUAGGAACCAGCCGCCUAAGGUGGGACAGAUGAUUAGGGUGAAGUCGUAACAAGGUAGCCGUAGGAGAACCUGCGGCUGGAUCACCUCCUUAAU